rnacentral:rRNA from 1 species
CUAGCACAUGAAAGUCGAAGUAUAUACUUUAGUCGAGGUAAUGAUCAUACGUCUGUAAUGCAUUGUAUGGCCCAGAAUAGGUCCUAUUCUUUUACCUUUUCCAGGUAGUCGAUGGCUAUUCACAGCUACCACCUUAACACCAAAGAAGAGUUUGACCCAAUGCUUUAUUUCUCGGGCCAGACGGACAUUGGUCCUCGAGUGCAAAGGCAU